rnacentral:lncRNA from 1 species
CACCAGGCUAGGAAGCCUAGGGUCGCCGAUGUUCCAGGAUGGAAUGUUCUGGUGUCACCGUGCGGGGGGGUGGGGGGUGUCACAGAGCUGGGAACUCGCUCAGAGCCAGGGUCUCUGCUGGGGUCAGCGUCUGUACGCUAAAGCCAGGGCGCAAAGUGCGUGGGCACUGCGGACACUAGAGGCUUAUGGCGCUGGAAAUACAAGGCCGAGUUGCCGGCGCAAAGAGUUCCCCGGGCGGGUUGGUGAUGCGGCGCGCUUUGAUAACAGGUUAAUCCGGCCAACAUUCGCUCCGCGAGAGAGCCAUCGGAGGGCUCCGGGAGACUGCGGCGCCACGGAGGGAGAGGCGGCGAGAGGCCCCUCUGCGAGCACCCUCUGGGCGCAGUGCGGUGGGCUAUGCUCUGCGCAGCCCCGGGCGCGCCUGGGUUCUCAGAGCCCAAGACCUGAGCCGCUCCGAGCGCAGGGCGCCAGUUCUCUUUCAGAAGCGGGAGAAGUUCAGGUGCCCAACACCUUGAUCAGUGCCUGCUUUGUAGUAGGCAUUCAAAUACUGUGGACUGGAUGAAUGGAGUCACUUCCCUUCCAACCUGCACACCAACGUGGUUGAACUGCCUCCUUUCUAAGUGCCAAAGUCUGUUUUACAAGGCUGCCCUGCUGUGCCCAUCUGGGCACCCAGUCCAGCCUCCCUUCCUGGGCGCCUUGACUCCCAACUGCAGAUGAAGUGUCUGGAAAUCAUGGUACUCAAGGUAGGAUCCACAUUGCCUGCCGGCCUAGGACCAAGAUCUGCAAGUCAGAACGAAACACCAGCUGUCCCUGUCUCCUGCACCCAUCCCCAUCCCGGUGAGUGAAGACACAGAACCGAGGACGAACCCGG